UCGAGAAUAGUCUACAAUGGACGAAAGUCUGAUAGUGCGACGCCGCGUGAACGAAGAAGCCCUUCGGGGUGUAAAGUUCUUUUAUAUGUGAGCAAUGCUUUUUAUGUGAACAGCAUGAGAAGAGAGAUAUUAGCAUAUGAAUAAGCAACGGCUAACUCCGUGCCAGCAGCCGCGGUAACACGGGGGUUGCUAGCGUUGUCCGGAAUUACUAGGCGUAAAGGGCAGGUAGGCGGAUAGAUAAGUUUGAUGUUUAAGGCAGCGGCUCACCCGCUGUAAGGCAUUAGAUACUGUUUAUCUGGAAUGCGGUUGGGGAAGACAGAAUUCCUGGUGUAGCGGUGGAAUGCGCAGAGAUCAGGAGGAAUACCGAAGGCGAAGGCAGUCUUCUAAGCCGUAAUUGACGCUAAACUGCGAAGGUGUGGGUAUCAAACA
rnacentral:rRNA from 1 species